GAAGCUGCGUUCGCGUUGGGUUUGCCUGCGCUACAGAUCUUCAAGGCUGCUGCUGCUGGGCACAAGCUGGUCCCUGCUUUGCUUCUGCUGCAACGUGUUCUUGUGAAGAUGGCUGACCUGCUUCUCCCAAACCUUUUGACUGGGAACUGCAGCGAUCGCGUGUGCGUUCACGUUUCCAGGUUCUGGAACUUCUAUGACACUAAUAACGAAACAAAACUCCUUCACGCUGACAUGGUCCUCAUUGAUGAGGAGGGUAAUAGCAUCCAUGCUUAGGUCUAUCCUCCAGCUGAUGAAUUGUUCAAGAACCGUGUCAAGGAAGGCGGUGUCUACACCUUCUCCUACUUUCGGGUCAGAGCCUCCAACAUCUACUACAAGCCAGUAGAAAAUGACCAGAUGCUUGUGUUCACAAAAUGGACCAAGGUGGAAGAAGUCCUUGCUGUUCCUCCUGCUUUCCCAAUGUAUGUCUACUCAAUUGCCUCACAAGAACAGCUUCAAGCACGUAUU